rnacentral:rRNA from 1 species
UACGGGGGGUGCGAGCGUUGUCCGGGAUCACUGGGCGUAAAGGGCGCGUAGGUGGCCUGAUAAGGGUGUGGUGAAAGUCCGGGGCUCAACCCCGGAUCUGCCGUGCCGACUGUUGGGCUGGAGUACUGUAGGGGCAGGCGGAAUUCCGGGUGUAGCGGUGGAAUGCGUAGAGAUCCGGAGGAACACCAGUGGCGAAGGCGGCGUCCUGGCCUGCGACUGACGCUGUGGCGCGAAAGCUAGGGGAGCGAACGGG